rnacentral:lncRNA from 1 species
CCAAGACAGUAUUCCAUUUGGCCCAUCGUCAUGGUGACAUCCUUCGGGAGGGCUGGAAGAAUAUCAUGGAGGCCAUGCUGCAGCUCUUCCGAGCCCAACUUUUACCGAAGGCUAUGGUAGAGGUAGAAGAUUUUGUGGAUCCCAAUGGUAAGAUCUCUCUGCACUUUGUUCCUCUCCCUAUCCAGUCCAUCAGUCCUGGGCCACUGCCUCCAGUUCUUCUUCCUUCAUUAAAUAGUUGGUCAGUUUGGAGUCGCUUGGCACCAUGGAGGGUGGACAGGUAGGACUCGAUGGGGGGUCUGCCCACAGGAGCAUGUACAUAUGGAAAAAUAACAUUGGACUUUUUAUGAUAUAAUAAAUGUCUUAGUACC